rnacentral:lncRNA from 10 species
AGGUACUGAGGAGUCCUUGUGGAAUUCCCCUUUGGAGUUGAGAGUUUCACAAGUUGUACAAUCACAAGGAGGGCACCUGUCUCUUUCUUCGUUUGGGCAUAUUCAACCAACACCUUCUGUCUUCAGCUUGAUGAGUAAGGAAGGACUGAAAGAAAUUCUAUGGCAGUACUGGCUGUGCCUGAGAAACCUCCUGCCACUCAAGCCCAGCAAGGAAACCAGGAUACAUUCUCAGAUCUCUGUGCCAUAUAGUGAUUCUACAUCUGAAUGAAGGUGAGCCUCCUGUCAAACUCAGCUGGACGUAUACAGAUGUGGAGGCAGAUGAGUCUCCCUGUACCAUAUGAAAAAAAGGAAAGGGAUGGAUUAAAAACACAGGAGAACAGAGCAGGCACAUUAUCUCUGGUGGCAUCUCCCAGGCAUUCUAUCAUUCUUAUUAUGGAAUUGGGGUCUAAAACAAGGUAAAAUUCACAUUCAGUAAAAUGUAGCCACAUUAAAUGUGCAGAUUGAACAUUUUUAUGUGUAUAUACAGCUAUGCAGCCACCACCCAGAUCAAGGUAUUCGGUAUAUCUGUUAUCCCACAAGGCCCCUCUUACUCUUUCCAAAUCGAACACAGUCACCGGAAGUCAACAUUCUUCUGGCUUCUAUUUCUAUAGACUCUUUUGCUUAUUAUUCAAUAUCACAUAAAUAGUGUCAAACAAUGUGUGUAUCACUUUGUCUGGUAUCUUUGGUCUAAUGAACAGUUUUUGAGACUCAUCCAGAUUGUCACAUGUAUCAAUAACUUUUUUUAUUGCUGUGUAGUAUUCCAUUGUCUGGAUAUAAUACAACUUACUUCAUUCCCCUUUUGAUAGAAAUUUGAAUGAAUUCUGGUUUUUAACUAUCGUAAGUAUAGCCACUGUGAAAAUUGUUAUACAUCUAUUUUGGUGGAUGUUUCAGUUUGCAUUCUCCAGAAACAAAUGCUGAGAUGAGGAUAAGAAUGCAGGAAGUUUAUUAUGAAAAGAAAAGGAGAAAAAUGAACAAAAACAGAACUGGAAGUGGGGAAGUUUGGUAUUAUAUCUUCCAAAAAGGCUUAAAAGAAUCCAUCAACAGAAUCACCCAGGCCUUAAGUUUUCCUUAUAAGAGGGUUUUAAUUAAAAAUAAAAUUUC